UACAGAGGUCUCAAGCGUUGUUCGGAUUCAUUGGGCGUAAAGGGUGCGUAGGCGGCGCGGUAAGUCGGGUGUGAAAUCUCGGAGCUUAACUCCGAAAACUGCAUUCGAUACUGCCGUGCUUGAGGACUGGAGAGGAGACUGGAAUUUACGGUGUAGCGGUGAAAAUGCGUAGAUAUCGUAAGGAAGACCAGUGGCGAAGGCGGGUCUCUGGACAGUUCCUGACGCUGAGGCACGAAGGUCAGGGGGAGCAAAACGGGG
rnacentral:rRNA from 1 species